AACGCUGGCGGCGUGCCUAAUACAUGCAAGUCGAGCGAACGGACGAGAAGCUUGCUUUUCUGAUGUUAGCGGCGGACGGGUGAGUAACACGUGGAUAACCUACCUAUAAGACUGGGAUAACUUCGGGAAACCGGAGCUAAUACCGGAUAAUAUUUUGAACCGCAUGGUUCAAAAGUGAAAGACGGUCUUGCUGUCACUUAUAGAUGGAUCCGCGCUGCAUUAGCUAGUUGGUAAGGUAACGGCUUACCAAGGCAACGAUGCAUAGCCGACCUGAGAGGGUGAUCGGCCACACUGGAACUGAGACACGGUCCAGACUCCUACGGGAGGCAGCAGUAGGGAAUCUUCCGCAAUGGGCGAAAGCCUGACGGAGCAACGCCGCGUGAGUGAUGAAGGUCUUCGGAUCGUAAAACUCUGUUAUUAGGGAAGAACAUAUGUGUAAGUAACUGUGCACAUCUUGACGGUACCUAAUCAGAAAGCCACGGCUAACUACGUG
rnacentral:rRNA from 1 species